rnacentral:rRNA from 1 species
AGCGAACGCUGGCGGCAGGCCUAACACAUGCAAGUCGAACGGACCCUUCGGGGUUAGUGGCGGACGGGUGAGUAACACGUGGGAACGUGCCCUUUGGUUCGGAAUAAGCUCGGGAAACUGGGUCUAAUACCGAAUGUGCCCUUCGGGGGAAAGAUUUAUCGCCAAAGGAGCGGCCCGCGUCUGAUUAGCUAGUUGGUGGUGUAAAGGACCACCAAGGCGACGAUCAGUAGCUGGUCUGAGAGGAUGAUCAGCCACACUGGGACUGAGACACGGCCCAGACUCCUACGGGAGGCAGCAGUGGGGAAUCUUGCGCAAUGGGCGAAAGCCUGACGCAGCCAUGCCGCGUGAAUGAUGAAGGUCUUAGGAUUGUAAAAUUCUUUCACCGGGGACGAUAAUGACGGUACCCGGAGAAGAAGCCCCGGCUAACUUCGUGCCAGCAGCCGCCGUAAAAC